UCUCCACGAUCUGAGUCUCUUCUUUCUUUUCCACUCUUGUAGUGCUCUCUCCCUCUCUCUUUCUCUCCUUUGAAUCUGAUUUUGAUUUGUUUUUUUGGUAAAGGAAGUUGGAGGAAGCACAAGAGGCCUGACGAGACGAGGUGACUGGAGGUCUCUCUUUUGUUCCAUCACCGAACUGCCGCAGACCAAGUGGGAUUUGUAGUUGUUAAAGUCCGCUACUUUGGAUUGUUCUUUGCUCAAGGUUGAGGCGGAGAGAACAGAUCCGGAGGCAGGAGGCGAAGAGGAGGUCCGAGAGAAGACAGAGCCAGAGGCUGGAGAAGACAGAACAUCGAGGCGGCUGAAGUUUUUUUUUUUAGGUCUAGUUUUUUUUUUAAUUUGGUUUAGUGUAAACCGAGAUAGGGAAAUGUAGUGGUUUGAUUUUAUUUUUAAUUUCUGGUUUAGUUUUGUAAGCCGGAAUGGAUUCAACAGAGACGACACAGAGGAGUUCAUUGAAACUUGGAUACAUGGACGAGUUAUCACCGGAAUGUUGCAGAAAACCUGUAUAUUUGGUUUUCUAUGUAAAAAACAUAACUCACCUAUAUAUUUUGUGUUUGAUUUAUGCUAUGUUGACACUA